GAUCCGGGCUCAGGACGAACGCUGGCGGCGUGCCUAACACAUGCAAGUCGAGCGGAGACAGUGAGUAGCUUGCUAUGAGCUGUUUUAGCGGCGGACGGGUGAGUAACGCGUGAGCAACCUUUCCCAAACAGGGGAAUAACACACCGAAAGGUGUACUAAUACCGCAUAAGACCACGGGAUCACAUGGUUCUGGGGUAAAAGAUUUAUCGGUUUGGGGUGGGCUCGCGUCCGAUUAGGUAGUUGGUGAGGUAACGGCCCACCAAG
rnacentral:rRNA from 1 species